CUGGGCCACGGGGCGAUGGCGCGGGUAGGACGCAUCCCUCAGAGGCCAGGAGGAGCGCGAGAAGGUCCCAGGACCCCCUUGGGAGGCGCCGCUCCCGAGAAUGUAGAGCCUGGGAGAUACCACCGCACGGAAUGGGGGUGAUUAAGGCCUGGGCGGUACCACUAGAAGAGGGACGAGGGGAGGCCCGGGUAGUACCGUGGACUGAAGGGAGGCGCGCGGCCAAUAACUUAUUUCUCUAUAUACAGAAGCAACGGCCGGGUUGAGUCGGGAGGGAGGGCGAGGGUGCCGAAGGGCCGGCGAGUGCUUAGUGUUCUUGGCUCUGGGGUCUGGGGAGGCCAGGCCACUGAGUCUAUGGUGGAGACUCCAGCCGGCACCUCCUGCUGGCCCGAACCUAGGGAAGAGGGCCCUGCUGGAAGGAAUAAAUAAGGGAUGGAGCUGGAGUGGGCAGGCCCAGCCUCCAGGGCUCAGGCUGAGAUGACAAGGGAGAAGGUUACCCUGAGAUUGAACAGAAAAGACAGGGGCUGUGGGAGAGACAGGCGGGACAAGCAGCAGGCCCAUGCGCAGGGCUGGGGUGAGGGGGGUGUGCCAGGUGGGCGCUCUGGUGACUGGCUGCCCCUUCAGCAUUAGCCCACCAGGGAGCUUCGUCGGGAGAGGUCCAUGGAGCUGGAGCUGAGAGUGCGGCUGUCAGAGAGACCUGUGCCUCCAGGCUGUGGGCAGAGGGGGCAGGUGGCUCAGCCCUGUGCUGCUGCCAGUCUGUGCCUCCCUGGCCUGAAGGGGUCUGACCUGGCAGAGGCAGCCGGAAUCCCUGAGCUGGGCAGAGGCAAUGGCAGUUCUGACCCAAGGCCACACCCUGGUGCCCUGACACUCCCGUCCAUCUCCACAGUGACGGUGUUAGCACUGGCCGUUUACACGUCCACCCCCAGGAGAGGCUGGGUUCCCCUCGUGUCUCCCCGUUGUCCAGCCCAAAGUAGGCCUGAGACAGAGCCAGGAACUGUUGCUGGAUGAAGAGGCAUGCUGGAGGGAAGCUUGGCAGCACGCAUGCAGCCCCGGCCGCAGCUGCCCAGUGCCCAGACACCCGCCUGCCCCUACCUGGGUCGGCUCUUCCACGCUCUUGUUGAGGAAGUUGAGGGAACUGGCCCGCUUCAUCCUGAGGGAAAAGGACAGCCUGGGAUUUGCCCAAGGAGGAACUCACGGGAGAUGGGGGCA
rnacentral:lncRNA from 1 species